AAGUCGUAACAAGGUUUCCGUAGGUGAACCUGCGGAAGGAUCAUUAAUGAAAGCAAUUUCAUACACCGUGAACCGUCGUCUUCGGACGCUUUACAAACUCUAGUGUUGUCAAUGUAUGUCUAUCUUAUAAAUAUAACUUUCAGCAACGGAUCUCUUGGCUCUC
rnacentral:misc_RNA from 1 species